rnacentral:rRNA from 1 species
GUAUAUAAUGUAUUUAUCAUGAAGCCUGGCACAUGUUCAAAAUAAGUAGUAGCUCUCAGAAGCUAAGCAGGGUCGGGCCUGGUUAGCACUUGGAUGAGAGACCACCUAGGAAGACCAGGUGCUGUAGGCG